AGAGUUUGAUCCUAGCUCAGGAUGAACGUUGGUAGUAUGCUUAACACAUGCAAGUCGAAUGCGAAAGGUUUACUGAGUAGCAUGGCGAACGGGUGAGUAAUGCUUAUCUAACCUACCAUUAAGUGGGGGAUAACUAUGGGAAACCAUAGCUAAUACCGCAUAUUCUGGUUCCGAUCAGGAAAGGGAGUCGUAAGAUUUUCGCUAAAUGAUGGGGAUAAGUCGUAUUAGUUAGUUGGUGGGGUAAUGGCCUACCAAGACAAUGAUGCGUAGCCAGUCUGAGAGGAUGAAUGGCCACAAGGGAACUGAGACACGGUCCCUACUCCUACGGGAGGCAGCAGUGAGGAAUUUUCGGCAAUGGGGGCAACCCUGACCGAGCAAUACUACGUGAAGGAGGAAGGUCUACGGAUUGUAAACUUCUGUUGGUAGAGAAGAAGAAUUGGAUGUGAAUCCAGUUUUGACGGUAUCUACCGAGAAAGCCACGACUAACUACGUGCCAGCAGUCGCGGUAAGACGUAGGUGGCGAACGUUAUCCGGAAUUAUUGGGCGUAAAGGGUGCGUAGAUGGUCCGAUAAGUUAGCAGUGGGAAAUCGGGGCUCAACCCCGCGGAAGUUGCUAAUACUGUGGGACUAAGAGGACAGGAGAGGUUAACGGAACUCCCUGUGGAGCGGUGAAAUGCGUAGAUAUAGGGAAGAACACCAAAGAGGCGAAGGCAGUUAACUAUUCUGAUCCUGACAUUGAGGCACGAAAGCGUGGGGAGCAAAGCGGAUUAGAUACCCGCGUAGUCCACGCCGUAAACGAUGAGUGCUAGACAUUGGGCGUAAGUUCAGUGCCGCUAGGUAACCCGGUAAGCACUCCGCCUGGGUAGUACGCUCGCAAGAGUGAAACUCAAAGGAAUUGACGGGGACUCGCACAAGCAGUGGAGCAUGUGGUUUAAUCCGAUACGACGCGUAGAACCUUACCAAGGCUUGACAUGUCGGGCAAAACUUAGGAAACUGAGCGGAGGUUAUCCCGACACAGGUGCUGCAUGGCCGUCGUCAGUUCGUGCCGUGAGGUGUAUGGUUAAGUCCUAUAACGAACGCAACCCUUGGGCUUAGUUACCAGCAUUCGGUUGGGCACUCUAAGCCGACUGCCUGUGUAAGCAGGAGGAAGGAAAGGAUGACGUCUGGUCGUCAUGGCCCUUAUGCCUUGGGCUACACACGUGCUACAAUGGUUAGGACAAAGCGUUGCUAACCCGCGAGGGGAAGCCAAUCGCAAAAAACUAACCCAAGUUCGGAUUGGAGUCUGCAACUCGACUCCAUGAAGUAGGAAUCGCUAGUAAUCGCAAAUCAGCAAUGUUGCGGUGAAUACGUUCUCGGGUCUUGUACACACCGCCCGACUUAAUCCCAAUCAUCAAUCCUAUCCUCAUUAACCGCCUCCUUUGCAGGUUAGCUA
rnacentral:rRNA from 1 species